rnacentral:lncRNA from 1 species
UGACAGAAGAAGAAAGUUGACAUAAUUCGAUGUUCAUAGUUACGUGUCAUUAGUGACGUGUUUAAUGACGAACAAGAAUUAACUGACUCGUCUGAGGUAAUUAUCAAUUGACAUUUAACUCGUUAAAAAAAAAAAGAGCUUACGAUAAGAGCGAAUUUUGAGCAAAAUUCGCAUUAACAAAAUAAAUUUGCAGCCAUGCUAAUUGAAAUCUCUUUACGAGAUCUUAAUAGCGAAACCAUAAUGGGUACAGAGCUUAUGUUUACUGUUUGUUUUUUUUUUCCUUAACGUCGUUAAACGGGCCGUAAUCAUACAAUCGUAUGUGUGUCGGGUUAAUUACGAAUGGCUUUCGAGGUUAUGGUCUCGAGGGGUGGUUGGUAAAUUAGGGAGAACGCAAGCAUUCGGAUCUAAACUUUGAUGAUGAUUAACCGCUAGCUGGGCAAACCAUCGUCGACUCGGCAUGGCGCCGAAUUAUGAGUUCGAAAUGUUGGCAUAUCGCUUGUUGAUCGUCACGUGCCAGCUGUCGCCCUUCCCACCACCACCUGCGUUGGUGAGGGUUCCAAGCGCCAUCUGGCACCGUGUUGGCACCGUUUAUAUGACGUCACCGUCUGAGCUGUAACCGACUCAUCUCGAUAACAAUGACAGUAAUUUUUCUCUGUUCGAUUUUUGGAAACGCGAACACUACGAUUCCAAUUGUUGUAUUCUUGUAUAAAGCGCGUCAAUUUUUACGUAUUUUAAGCUGUUUUGAACAAUUUCGACCUAAAUGCUUUGUGUAAUCGCAGCUUUCUGUGGUAAUGCUCCUAAUCGCCGGGGUUGGCAAUUGUUUAAACGUCUCUUUCUCUCUCCCUCUCUCUGCGAAACUUGUACGGGGCGUCACGAAUAUACACGCCCCUGUUUUUGUUUGCUAACCAUCAACUUCAUACACCUGAACGUUCGCAGAACUCACCUGAGCGCUGAUGUCACCAGCUGAGCGAUCGUUAGAGCAACAAACUGACCUUAUCAAAAUAGUAAACAGACAGUCGACGGCAACGUUCGAUAAUUAAAAACACCCGCUACAAAAUCGAGGAAUUUCGCUCCGUCAUCGAGAAAGGGGGAACGUAACGGGAAAGCGUAGACGAACUUCAUUAAUGGAGCCACCUCAUUAGCUUCCGGUUAAUUCAGUCACGUGUCUAUCGGUUUCAUUUUGGAGCCGACGCAUUUCCGGUAAACUUAAUCGCGUGUACGAUGUCACACAAAGUAAACAACCGAAGAGCAAUAACAAACAACAAUCAACAACAACACGCGUUCGGUAGUAGAUUUUAUUAUUAAAAACGUAGAAAUUCGAUACUGUAAUAACGUUUCGUGUUAAAUUGUUCGGUAAAAUUUCACGUUUAGAUUACCGCCGAGUUAACAGGAUUUUAAAAGGGCAUCUUUUAAUUUAACAGAAAAUUAAACAAGACAAACGUUAUAUUACGCGAACGUUUAAAAGCAAACAGUUUUCAAACUAAAUUGCUUUUAAAAGUUGCCUAAAAGCAAAACAUUGUAACUCGUAAUCAAGCGAUGUGUAAUCCAGUUUGUUCUAUUAGAUCAAUACCAUUAUAAGUAUUACUUUUGUUACAGUUAAAUCUACU